GAGUUUGAUCUUGGCUCAGAUUGAACGCUGGCGGCAGGCCUAACACAUGCAAGUCGAGCGGUAGAGAGAAGCUUGCUUCUCUUGAGAGCGGCGGACGGGUGAGUAAUGCCUAGGAAUCUGCCUGGUAGUGGGGGAUAACGCUCGGAAACGGACGCUAAUACCGCAUACGUCCUACGGGAGAAAGCAGGGGACCUUCGGGCCUUGCGCUAUCAGAUGAGCCUAGGUCGGAUUAGCUAGUUGGUGGGGUAAUGGCUCACCAAGGCGACGAUCCGUAACUGGUCUGAGAGGAUGAUCAGUCACACUGGAACUGAGACACGGUCCAGACUCCUACGGGAGGCAGCAGUGGGGAAUAUUGGACAAUGGGCGAAAGCCUGAUCCAGCCAUGCCGCGUGUGUGAAGAAGGUCUUCGGAUUGUAAAGCACUUUAAGUUGGGAGGAAGGGCAGUAAAUUAAUACUUUGCUGUUUUGACGUUACCGACAGGAUAAGCACCGGCUAACUCUGUGCCAGCAGCCG
rnacentral:rRNA from 1 species